rnacentral:lncRNA from 1 species
AAAACAUCUAGCAAUCAAUAUUUGGUCAGCAACGAAUACUUUUAUAUGGUUAAUCCCUGUUGUGACGUCACCAAAACUACUGUUAAUGAGAUAAAAAAUUUAUCCAAGAUGGCUGACAUCUCAUUACUUCAAGUGAAAGUAUUUCAAGAACUAAGCAAGAUAUGAAGAAUCGGUAAAAGAAGUUAUUAAAUAGUUUCAAAAGUUCUUUCAAAU